CCGUAACUAUAACGGUCCUAAGGUAGCGAAAUUCCUUGUCGGGUAAGUUCCGACCCGCACGAAAGGCGUAAUGAUUUGGGCACUGUCUCAACAGCCCGCCCGGCGAAAUUGUAGUACCGGUGAAGAUGCCGGUUACCCGCGACAAGACGGAAAGACCCCAUGGAGCUUUACUGUAGCCUAAUAUUGGGUUUCGAUGUUGCAUGCACAGGAUAGAUGGGACACUGGGAAGCAGGUGCUUUGGCGCUUGUGGAGUGGCCGUUGGGAUACCAUCCUUGCGAUAUUGGAAUUCUAACCUGCGCCUUUGAAUCAAGGCGGGGGACAUUGUUAGGUGGGCAGUUUGACUGGGGCGGUCGCCUCCUAAAGAGUAACGGAGGCGUUCAAAGGUUCGCUCAGCUUGAACGGAAAUCAAGCAAAAGAGUGCAAACGCAGAAGCGAGCCUAACUGCGAGACUGACGGGUCGAGCAGUAACGAAAGUUGGAGUUAGUGAUCCGGUGGUAUGUGAGUGGAAAUGCCAUCGCUCAACGGAUAAAAGUUACCCUGGGGAUAACAGGCUGAUCUCCCCCAAGAGUCCACAUCGACGGGGAGGUUUGGCACCUCGAUGUCGGCUCAUCGCAUCCUGGGGCUGUAUUCGGUCCCAAGGGUUUGGCUGUUCGCCAAUUAAAGCGGUACGCGAGCUGGGUUCAGAACGUCGUGAGACAGUUCGGUCCCUAUCUGUCGUGGGCGCAGGAUAUUUGAUGGGAGCUGUUCCUAGUACGAGAGGACCGGAGCGGACGUACCUCUGGCGCACCAGUUGUUCUGCCAAGAGCAUAGCUGGGCAACUAUGUACGGAUCGGAUAAACGCUGAAAGCAUCUAAGCGUGAAGCCGACCCAAAGAUAAGAUAUCCCAUUGUUUCAAACAAGUAAGACCCCUUGAAGACUACAAGGUUGAUAGGCACGAUGUGUAAGUGGAGCGAUCCAUUCAGCAAGCGUGUACUAAUAGGUCGAGGGCUUGACCAC
rnacentral:rRNA from 1 species